rnacentral:rRNA from 1 species
AACGAACGCUGGCGGCAUGCCUAACACAUGCAAGUCGAACGAGACCUUCGGGUCUAGUGGCGCUCGGGUGCGUAACGCGUGGGAAUCUGCCCUCUGGUUCGGAACAACAGUUGGAAACGACUGCUAAUACCGGAUAAUGACUUCGGUCCAUAGAUUUAUCGCCUGAGGAUGAGCCCGCGUAGGAUUAGCUUGUUGGUAAGGUAAAAGUUCACCAAGGCGACGAUCCUUAGCUGGUCUGAGAGGAUGACCAGCCACACUGGGACUGAGACACGGCCCAGACUCCUACGGGAGGCAGCAGGGGGGAAUAUUCGACAAUGGGCUAAGGCCUGAUCCAGCAAUGCCGCGUGAGUGAUGAAGGCCUUAGGGUUGUAAAGCUCUAUUACCCGGGAUGAUAAUGGCAGUACCGGGAGAAUAAGCCCCGGCUAACUCCGUGCCAGCCGCCGCCGUAA